rnacentral:tRNA from 1 species
GGGGGUAGAUAGGUUCUGGUGGAUCUCGUGAUCUUCAAAAUCAUUGUUGGUAUGUAGAAUACCUGGGUGAGUUCGAUUCUCACAUACUCCCGCCA